AUAAAGUUUUAUUUUGGCUUAAAAAUUUAUUAUUAGUUUAAUUUAUAUGUAAAUUUUUGUAUGAAUUUUUAUUUAUUUUAAUAAUAAAUAACUUAUUUUAUUCGCAGUAAUUAAUAUUAUUAAUUAAAGAAAUUUAGAAAUAGUAAUAUUAAAAAGUAUUGGUUAAAUUUGUGCCAGCAACCGCGGUUAUACGAAUAAUACAAAUAAAUUUUUUUAGUUAAAGUUAAAUUAAUUAAUUUAAAAUAAAGGUAAAUUUAUUAGGUGAAAUUUUAAAUUUAUAAAUUUUUUUAAUAUUAUAAUUGAAACUUGCAAAUUUUAAUAAUAAACUAGGAUUAGAUACCCUAUUAUUUAAAAUGUAAAUGAUAAAAUUAAGGUAGUAGUAGUUAUGUUCUUGAAACUUAAAAAAUUUGGCGGUAUUUUAGUCUAUUCAGAGGAACCUGUUCUGUAAUCGAUAAUCCACGAUGGACCUUACUUAAAUUUGUUUAGUUUAUAUACCGUCGUUAUUAGAAUAUUUUAUAAGAAUGAUAAUUUUCAUAAUUUUUUAAUAAAAAAUAUAUCAGAUCAAGGUGUAGCUUAUAUUUAAGUAGAAAUGGGUUACAAUAAAUUUAUUUAUAUGGAUAUAAAUUUGAAAUUUUUAUUGAAAGUGGAUUUGAUAGUAAAAUUAUAAAGAUAAAUAAUUUGAUUUUAGCUCUAAAAUAUGUACACAUCGCCCGUCACUCUUAUUAAUAAGGUAAGAUAAGUCGUAACAUAGUAGAUGUACCGGAAGGUGUAUCUAGAAUGCA
rnacentral:ncRNA from 1 species